AGUGAACGCUGGCGGCAGGCCUAACACAUGCAAGUCGAACGGCAGCACAGUAAGAUCUUGCUCCUACGGGUGGCGAGUGGCGGACGGGUGAGGAAUACAUCGGAAUCUACUUUUUCGUGGGGGAUAACGGAGGGAAACUUACGCUAAUAGCGCAUACGACCUACGGGUGAAAGCAGUGGAGCUUCGGACCUUUCGUGAUUCUAAUAGCCGAUGUCGGAUUAGCUAGUUGGCGGGGUAAAGGCCCACCAAGGCGACGAUCCGUAGCUGGUCUGAGAGGAUGAUCAGCCACACUGGAACUGAGACACGGUCCAGACUCCUACGGGAGGCAGCAGUGGGGAAUAUUGGACAAAGGGCGCAAGCCUGAUCCAGCCAUACCGCGUGGGUGAAGAAGGCCUUCGGGUUGUAAAGCCCUUUUGUUGGGAAAGAAAAGCAGCAGGUUAAUACCCCGCUGUUCUGACGGUACCCAAAGAAUAAGCACCGGCUAACUUCGUG
rnacentral:rRNA from 1 species